rnacentral:rRNA from 1 species
CCUACGGGAGGCAGCAGUGGGGAAUAUUGCGCAAUGGGGGGAACCUUGACGCAGCGACGCCGCGUGAAGGAAGAAGGCCUUCGGGUUGUAAACUUCUUUGACCGGGGACGAAGAAAGUGACGGUACUCGGGGAACAAGCCACGGCUAACUACGUGCCAGCAGCCGCGGUAAAACGUAGGUGGCGAGCGUUGUCCGGAAUCACUGGGUGUAAAGGGCGUGUAGGCGGGGGUACAUGUCAGGUGUGAAAGACCACGGCUCAACCGCGGGGUUGCAUUUGAAACUGUAUCUCUUGAGUAUUGGAGAGGGAAGCGGAAUUCCUAGUGUAGCGGUGAAAUGUGUAGAUAUCAGGAGGAACACCCGUGGCGAAGGCGGGUUGCUGGACCAAAACUGACGCUGAGACGCGAAAGCGUGGGUAGCAAACAGGAUUAGAUACCUUUGUAGUCACUC